GCCUCCAAUUCUGCUAGUAGUCAUAUGUUUGCCUUAAAAGGUUAAGCCAUACAUAUGCAAGUAUAAACUAAUUUGAACUAUGAAUAACUCGUUAAAUCAGUUAUAGUUUGUUUAAUGGUAUAUGCUACUAGGAUAACCGUAAUAAUUCUAGAGCUAUGCAAUAAACCCUAACUUCUAGGAGGACGCAUUUUUAGAUAAAAGGCUGACACGGGCUUUGCUCGCUGAUCCGAUGAUUCAUGAUAACUUAGCGGGUCGCAUGACCCUCGUGCCGGCGGCGCAUCAUUCUAAUUUCUACCCUAGCAACUUCGAUGGUAGGAUAUGUGUCUACCAUGAUGGUGACAAGUGACUGAGAAUUAGGGUUCGAUUCUAGAGAGGGAGCCUGAGAAACGUCUAUCACAUCGAAAGAAGGCAAUAGGCGCUCAAAUUACCCAAUCCUGAUCGACACGAGGUAGUGACAAUAAAUAAUAUUAGGGGCGUUAGUGUCGGGUAAUUGGAUGGGUACAAUCUAAAUCCCUUAACGAGGAUCCAUUGGAGGGUAAGUCUCUGGUGCCGGCAGCGGCGGUAAUUCCAUCUCCAAUAGCGAAUAUUUAAAUUGUUGCAGUUAAAAAACUUGUAGUUGGACCUUGAGUUGGGUCGGGUGGUUUGCCUCACGGCGAGAACCGACUUACUCUUCUGUCGAUAAUGCGCUCUUGGCCUUAAUUGUCCGGGUUGUGCCUCCGGCGCUGUUACUUUCAAGAAAUUAGAGUGCUUAAAGCAAGCCAUCCCCUUUGGAUACAUUAGCAUGGGAUAACAUCGUAGGAUUCCGGUCCUAUUGUGUCGGCCUACGAAUCGUCGAAGUAAUGAUUGAUAGGGACAACUAGGAGGGCAUUCGUAUUUCAUAGUUAGGGGUGAAAUUCUAGGUUUACGAAAGACGAACAAUUAUGUAAGAAUUUGUCAAUGAUGUUUUCAUUAAUUAAGAACAAACAUUGGGGGCUCGAAGGCGAUCAGAUAGCAUCCUAUAUAUAUAUAUAUAUAUUGUUAGCACUAAGUUAAAUAUUAUUUAAGCCAUACUCCCUCCGUCCUGAAAUAUAGCGCAUUGUACCUUCUAAAAUUUAUACUGAAAUAUAAUACAUUCUAUGUGAUGACUAUGCCUAGAUUUGGCAAAUUGUUUUCUAGAAAGAAAACCAUAAUAUGUGGAGAAACUCUUUAAUGGGAUAUAAUUCAUGGGUACAUACGUUAUUUGAGUGUUCUCUUAAGUUAUCUUAAAUUUUUUAGAAUAGACUAUAUUACAGGGAUGGAGUAAAUCAUAAAAUUGGUUGCAUCUCCCUUCCUAUCGCCUUUGACUAAAAAAAUAAGUCCCACAAAGUACAUCGAAUGCUAUAGAAUUGGUAAAAGGUCCUAUGGUCAGUGGUAGGACUGUAUUGACGAGCGCUGCCCACUAGUAUUUGAACUUGGUGUGGCAAAGUGUUUUCGAAAACUUUUUUCCAAAGAAAAGUAGGGUAUACGCACGCUUGUGUGUUUCCCACGCACGGGAGCUAGAGCCUCCCAGUCACUUUCUUUGCAUGUGUAAGGACUCAUGCGCGUGUGCUUGUG
rnacentral:rRNA from 1 species